UACGGAGGAUGCGAGCGUUAUCCGGAUUUAUUGGGUUUAAAGGGUGCGUAGGCGGGACGCCAAGUCAGCGGUAAAAUGUCGGGGCUCAACCCCGUUGUGCCGUUGAAACUGGCGUUCUUGAGUGGGCGAGAAGUGUGCGGAAUGUGUGGUGUAGCGGUGAAAUGCAUAGAUAUCACACAGAACUCCGAUUGCGAAGGCAGCACACCGGCGCCCAACUGACGCUGAAGCUCGAAAGUGCGGGUAUCAAACAGG
rnacentral:rRNA from 1 species